rnacentral:lncRNA from 1 species
UCCGAGCUGUUGGAACUUAUACAUAGUGAUGUGUGUGUGUGUCACGCCCAAUAUGCGACUCUAUCCUAAAGGAACUUGAAGGUUCCACCAAGGAUAGAACCGCAUAUUGACAGACUUGUGCAAGGUGGAUAUCAUUACAUCAUACCAUUACAUAAUAGUUGGGGAUACAUACAAAACAUACAAAUGCCACAUGAAUACAUCAACAUCAUACAUGAGAACAACAUCCGACUACGGAUGAAACACAAACAGAAACUCAAGCGACAUCCACACUGCUAGCCCAGGCUGCCGACCAGGAACCUAACCCAAGAUCGACGAAGAAGAAGAAGAACUCCAGAACAUGCAAACAUCGCUCUCACGUCAUGAUCAUCGCAUUGCCUGUACCUGCAAAUUUUGUUGUAGUAAUCUGUGACCCACGAGGACUCAGAAAUCCCAUUACCAUGGGUAUCAAGACUAGCAAAGCUUAAAGGGUACGGAAAGGAUAAGUGGUGAGGUUGCAGCAAGCGACUAAGCAAUGUAUGGUGGCUAACUUACGAGUACCAGAAUAAGAUGAGAAGCUACGCAAACGGCCGCAACUAGUAAUGAUCAAUAAGUGAUCCUGAACUACUUACUUCAAUCAUAACCCAACCGUGUUCUCCUCUCGAACUUCCCUGAAAAGAUACAAUCACGGUUACGCACGCGGUUGGUGUAUUUUAAUUGAGUUUACUUCAAGUCCUCUACAACCGGAUAUUAACAAAUUCCCAUCUGCCACAUAACCGCGGGCACGGCUUUCGAAAGUUUAAACCCUGCAGGGGUGUCCCAAUUUAGCCCAUGACAAGCUCACGAUCCGCGAAGACAAUCCUCCAUCACAGGACCCUCCGAUCAGAAUCGGAAUCCCGGUGCACAAGACAUUUCGACAAUGGUAAAACAAGUCCAGCAAGACCUCCCGAUGUGCCGACAAAUCCCGAUAGGAGUCGCACAUAUCUCGUUCUCAGGGCACACCGGAUGGGCAAGACGUCGGGUUGGCUGAGACCCUGGUUGCCCAGCGGGCGCCGGACAUCGCCCGGCUUGGACCAACACUCGGAGGAGCACUGCCCCGGGGGGUUGAUUAAAAAUCCUCGAGGUCCAGAAUGUCCCUAUGUAAGUUUUAGUUGUUCUUAGAGAAAUGGUAAAACCAAUAUUGGGCCUUGCUGGAAGAGUUUUAUUCAAAGCGAACUGUCAAAAGGGCCCCAUACCCCUCACCGUGUUAGGGACGCAAAAUCAAGGAACAUAACAGCGCUAUGACGGAAACUAGGGCGGCAAGAGUGGAACAAAAUACCAGGCAUAAGGCCGAGCAUUCCACCCUUUACCAAGUACAUAUGUGCAUUAAUUAAAUAAGAGAUAUUGUGAUACCCCAAGAUAUCCAUGAUAUCCAUGUCCCAACAUGGAACAAACUGCAACAGCACCUGCAACUAGCAACGCUAGAAGAGGGGCUGAGCAAAGCGGCAACAUAGCCAAACAACGGUUUGCUAGGAAGGGUGAAAAGGUUAGAGGCUAUCAUGCCAAUUUGGGAAGCUUGAUAAACAAGUGGUAGAUAGCGCGACAUAGCGAUAGCAUCGAGAAAACUAGCAUGGCAAGGAUAGUAGUGAGAUCCAAGGUGACGGUCAUCUUGCCUGAAAUCCCGCUAGGAAGAAGAACGAGUCCAUGAAGAGACGAUCCCACGUAGUCAAACGGAUCCUCACAAUCGCAACGACACCAAGAACUAUAGAGAAGUAGCACAACCGAAAAGAAGCAAACAACAUGGUAAACAACCACCACAUAAACACGACGUGAUGCGCAAGCAAGUAUGAUGCAUGUCCAUUUAAUGAGGCAUGGCAUGGCAAAGUGCACAAAUAAUACUACAAGUUAAGUGGAGCUCAAUAUGCAACGAGUUACAUAUUGACGAAACACCACAUUCAAAUUAUUUAGUUCGCUCUCGUUUAUGUACCCAACAAUAUUAAAUGUUGUUAAACAUGGCAAGAGGUGAAACAUAUGUAAACUACACAUUUUUGGCAAUUUAAAUGAGGCCGGAAGUAACAAACAACAAUUCCGGAAAAUCUUCAUAUGCAUAUUUUGAAUUUAAUGCAAACUACGAUUUUAAACAUUUCAAAUAGUGUUAUCAUGAUAUGGAUGACAUAUGCAAGUUAUAUGCAAUUUUUAAGAAAAUGUCGACAUGAGCAUGUUAUGAAGCAUUUGUCAUCGUAGCGGAAAUGAAAGGGGUGCCACGACAACGACAAUGGAAAUGGUGCCACGGCAACAUUCAAAUUAUCCGACAACUCGUCGAGAUGUCGAUGCAAAUUUACGUGUGGAAGUACGGGACGUGCAAAAAAUGGUGGGGUGAUCCCGGAUUACCGGGUUCCCACGGGUUGACGACAGGGCAAACAAGGAACGCGCAAGGAACAACUCGGACAUGGUGUAAACACGGGCAUCUCAUACAUCACACAUGCAUUCGUUCACGGGCGGUCGUCUCGUCAUUAUACCUUUGAAGCGUGCAUUUUCGGAGCGGAUCGGGUUCGAUGCGGUGUUGGGGAAAUAGACGUUCUGGAGAUGGUCAUAAUGGAAGUAGUGGUACUAGUUUUCGUAGAUGUUCGGGGUCCUCGGUAGUUUUACACAAUCGUCGUUGGACUUGACGGGUCCAAGGUCUCCGGGCGUAGUGGUACUUGGCGUCUCAUCGUGCAGUCGUUUGUCGUAGUCGGACUUGACAAAAAUGCACACCAGUUGCAGUCGUGGUACUUGGCAGCAGAAAACACACGGCGUGGGUACACGAACUUGGCGUAGGUAUGUUCUUCGGGGAUGGCCUUGGAGUUUGCCAGCGUGGCUGCGGGCUACUGUAGGCGAAGCAGGGGAGCGGUUGGGCCUGGCGCUGCGCCGUGUGCGGUCAACGCACAGGGGCGGGACGACGUGCACGAGCAAGACGAGCACUUCGAUCGAUGCAGGGGAGCUGCGGGGGGUGAACUUGGUGCGGAGGUGACCCUUGGUGACGCGCGCAUGGCGGGGACGAGAGGAUCCGACCCAACGCGACCGGAUCUGGCGAUGUCCGAUGACGAACGUAGCAGGGCGGCGACGGGAGCCAGCGGGGUGCAGGCGAGGUCGCGGGGCAGUGAAAGUCCACCUCGAGUGGAUAUGGCGAGGAGCUUUGGGCAGUCAUGGUGGUCUUGGACGGCGGCGGCGCGAGGCUAGGAGGAGGCAGGACCUCGCGGGGCAGGAGGAGAACCAGGGGGCGAUGGGAUCGCCUGCAGGUGGCCGCCGGCGGCGUCGGCGCGGGGACGAUGGAAGGGCGAG